UGCAGAUGAUGUAAGAGAAUAUUUGCUAUCUGAAAGAUGGUGAUGACCUUUUAACCACCAAGAUCGCUGAUGCA
ensembl:snoRNA SNORD24 Small nucleolar RNA SNORD24